GUGGGGAAUAUUGGACAAUGGGCGCAAGCCUGAUCCAGCCAUGCCGCGUGAGUGAUGAAGGCCUUAGGGUUGUAAAGCUCUUUCACCGGUGAAGAUAAUGACGGUAACCGGAGAAGAAGCCCCGGCUAACUUCGUGCCAGCAGCCGCGGUAAUACGAAGGGGGCUAGCGUUGUUCGGAAUUACUGGGCGUAAAGCGCACGUAGGCUGAUAUUUAAGUCAGGGGUGAAAUCCCGGGGCUCAACCCCGGAACUGCCUUUGAUACUGGGUAUCUUGAGUAUGGAAGAGGUCAGUGGAAUUGCAAGUGUAGAGGUGAAAUUCGUAGAUAUUCGCAGGAACACCAGUGGCGAAGGCGGCUGACUGGUCCAUUACUGACGCUGAAGUGCGAAAGCGUGGGGAGCAAACAGGAUUAGAAACCCGAGUAGUCC
rnacentral:rRNA from 1 species